rnacentral:rRNA from 1 species
ACGAACGCUGGCGGCGUGCUUCACACCUGCAAGUCGAACGGAAAGGCCUCUUUGGGGGUACUCGAGUGGCGAACGGGUGAGUAACACGUGAGUAACCUGCCCUUGACUUCGGGAUAACUUCAGGAAACUGGGGCUAAUACCGGAUAGGAAUCCUUGCUGCAUGGUGGGGGUUGGAAAGCUUCGGCGGUUUUGGAUGGACUCGCGGCUUAUCAGCUUGUUGGUGGGGUAGUGGCUUACCAAGGCUUUGACGGGUAGCCGGCCUGAGAGGGCGACCGGCCACAUUGGGACUGAGAUACGGCCCAGACUCCUACGGGAGGCAGCAGUGGGGAAUAUUGCACAAUGGGCGGAAGCCUGAUGCAGCAACGCCGCGUGCGGGAUGACGGCCUUCGGGUUGUAAACCGCUUUCAGCAGGGGCAAAGCUUGUGGUGACGGUACCUGCAGAAGAAGCACCGGCUAACUACGUG